UGGAGACUAUGAGCUGUUGCAGGGUGGGAUACACCCAGAAGAGACUACAAAUACGUCACAGGCCAUCAGUAUAACAAUGUUUCUUUCUACAUCAAUUAUUCCAUAUAUAGCAAAGAGAGCGAGAGAGAGAAAUGCCCCUCAUAGAUAUCUUCAAAAAUUUAUUCAGGUUUUGACACAAAAACUGCAUAGCGGUAAAAGUUUCCUACAUAAGCACAGCAGACUCAGUGUUGUCCCUCCAAUGAUAUUAUUGCCUGAAAUGUCAGGUAUGACACUUAACUGGCUUCUGGAAAGUGACUGAGUGAAUUAAACACAUCUGCUUUAUAGUACAUGCAGCAGGUAGUUCAUACUUUCUCUUAAUAAAACAUCAUUUUCAUACAUAUUUGAUAAAGCACAAGAAAAAAAAACAUCUUUAAUUUAAAACAGUUUUUUGAGCAAACGUGUUAACAAAUUUAUUAUUAUCUUUGAGAACUAAUGGAGUGAUAAGUCUCAUUAACUAUUAUCUACAGUAUUUGUACAGCACCAGAGUGACUGCUUUUUGUGACACCGCAGUCUUACUUGUGUGUUACAAAAAAAGCAGCCUUGAAUUUAAAUAAAUGACAUUAUCAUGCAGAAAAUAGUACAAUUUGUUAACAAAAUAUAUCCUUCCAAAACAAAACAACCUCAAACUGUAUUUUGUGGAAUUAGACUUUUUUAAAGAGUGUUAAACUGCACUCCAAUCCCAGAUGAAGUAUCUACAAGAAACCCAGCUAUUUUUUAUUCUCCUUGGAGAUCGCAGAUCAAUUACACGAAUUUGUCUGUAGUUUCAGAUAACUACCAACCAAUAAAAGAAUGAAAGACAAAUAUGACAGCAACACAUCAUAGUGAAAUACAGUGAAGCAAAAGUGUAAGUGUUGCACUACAGCUUUUCAGAAAAAAAAACAUGCAUAAGAAAAAGCAGAUCACUUGCUUUUAACAACACCAUCCAAACGCAUGUACUUAAAACAUAAUCAGGGACGUAGAGUAGUCAAGUUGAACUCAGCCUUACAACUGUAGGCUCACAUGAAUAUGUAUGAAGGACCUGGAGUUACAUUAGAUAGAGCUCUGAUGUUUUUGUGUGUUCCUUCUGGUUCGUUUUCUUGUAUGAGAUCACGGUUUAACUCACGUUAAAUUACAGUUAAUAACACUUUAAAACAUAAUUACAGCACAUAGCCACAGUUUAUGCUGUAAUUACUGUUUUAUAUGUUUUGAGGACCUUCAGAACACUGAGGCACCAGCAGACUACUGCUGAUACGCCCUUCUGGAAUAUGAUUAAUCAAAACACCAGUAAAAACCACAUUUUAAGGUGAUAACUUACUCCAACAAACACUUACACCACCUACAAUCAGUUGCAGCAGUACAUUAUGUCAGAUCUCAUUAGGCUUCUUUACCACUUCAGGACUGCUGACCUCACCCCUGGAGCGCAAUACUGAAACCUCAGGGAUACACUUCAUUUCAGACUUGUUUAUAAAAUGAGAGUUUACAAAAAACCCUUACAAUCAAUGUUCUGUUAAACUCAGGAAUAAAGAAAAAUGAAAUGAAAUAAACUAAAUAAAAACAAAGAAAAAGUCCAGAAACCAAUGGGUGAUGUCACACUGGCUAUGUUCAUCUUUUAGAUUGAGUCUAAGGAAAUCAAAACUGUUAUUUAUGUAACAAUAUCACAAAAAUUAUGGGCCUGCACCUAAAAGGGGCAGGACCUUCUUUAAUGUUGCAACACACUAGUUUUAGUCAAAAUGGCCACUGUGCGAUCUUUGGCAGCUAAUUAUUGGUAAAACAAGUGAUGAAAAUGUUCAGUUCAUAUCAGUAAACAUCACUUUAUUUAGAACUAACUCUUAAAAAAGAACAAGAAAAAUUUCUAAUUAUGUUAUUAAGCUGGAGGAUGAUUUUUUAGUUUGCAAUAAUUAAAUAGAAGUUUUCAAGUAACUUACUUUAAACUCACCUCUAAAAUUCAAUUUCUCGCUAAACACAGUUUGAGGCUUUAAAAAAAGCAUUAGGAUUAGCAAGUGCAAUGGUGAGUCGGCCCUACGGUUGAUAUCUCAUAGCCGAGGGGUCUGAAAAUAAUUUGCUUUAAAUUGAGUAAUCUGUGCUGCAUCAUUAAAAGUGGAUUUUAAUGAAUGGUAACAAUUUCACAGUUAAAAAAAUAUGAAUAUAUAUUGAGUCCAUUUUUAUCCCCAAAGUUGUCUUUGGGUUAAUGGAGAGUCUGAUAUCAAUGUGGUGCAUUGAGUCAGUUUGGUAGAAACUCCGUAACAACACUCAAGGACAGCAGAAAUGUUCUGCUGCAUAGUUUGGCGUAUUAGUUAGAUGACUACCUAGCAAGAUAGCAUAGGGAAAUAUCUGAGUCAGUCCACAACAACAAGUAACACGAGGUUCAAAGCAUCUUAACUGCUUUGAAUGUGGAUUAUGAGGGGAACCUUGGAAAACUUUCACCCCUCUAAGAGGUCCCUGGCCCUGAUAACUUCAAGAACCUCUGGUUGAGCCGCACUUCACUGCCAUACCUCAAAAACAAAAACAAAAAUCAAAUUUAAAAUAACAUCUUAAUAAUUGAUGUAGCUCAAUCCACAGGGUCAUAAUAUGUUAAAAAUGCAACAAUAUGAGUGCUUUGCGUUGUCUUUACUCUGGCCGUGAGUGUCAAAAGCAUUUUUUUAAAGCAUGGACUAGCUAUUAAAAACUAGUAGAUUUGUGUGUCUUUAGGAACUCACUCUGUUAAAAGGUGAAUGUGACAGCACAAUCUGGGCAAGAGUGGGUCAUAUCCCAGGAUUAAGCCCAGCUUAAAAACACCUUUUUUGGUUCUUUUCAUCAAGUUUUCAUUCAGUAAGACGGCGACAGAAAUCACUGGUGAUGCUCAGCAACAGUUUGGCAGUGUCAACAAGGCAGCCAUGUUGCUAUAAGGUACAAAACCAGAGCUAUGAAUGACUGAGGUAAAAAGAAAUAUGACAAGAUCAGACUUAAUAAAUAAGCUGAUGAUUAACACAAAUGACAUUCAUUCAGUGUAGCAGACAUCACAGUGUCUCAUGAGUUGGUCACAUCAAAGUUGUCCCUGCCUCUGAACAUGAGGAGCUGAUACUUGUAAGUAAUUAGAGGUCAUCUGUGAUAAAACACAUCAUUACAAGACAUUUACUAUCCAGGAAUUGCACUUCAUUUUUAAGAUAAAAGCACAGCAUUGCAAUCUUUGGCUUUAAAAGAAAAACAAAUCAAAAACAGGUUUUCUGAAUUUAUUACACCUAAUGAGGCGCCACAAAAACAUUGCUGAUUUUGCUGCAUACUCAUUUCCUGGCCAAUAAACCACCACUGGGAAGCCCACAGUCCCACAUACAAGCUGCUUCAAGUUACACAGAGAACCUAGACUAUUUAAUAAUUAUUGUAUAUACACAAGAAAAUGUAUUUUAAAAAAUCAUAUCCCCUUUUUCUUACUUAGCUUUAUGUUUCAUUUAAAUAUGUUUCUUAAUUGGAUGCAGGUUUAUUUAAUUUUGCAGCUCCAAUAUGUGUAAUGAGACUGCAUUGCAUUAUUGAGUUUGUAUUCAUACAGAUAUACAAAUCUUUUGGGCGCCUCUUGGAUGUUAGUAAAUAUCUAUUUUUUCAGAUUCUUCUAUAUUUUAUUCAUCUACUAGUCUACAGUAUUUCCAAUACACCACUUUAAGUGGAGUCACAAGUUAAAAUGUGGCAUGUAACAUAUUGAAAUGAACCUCUACAAAAAAAAAAAAAAAAACAUUAGCGGUGAAAGGUAAAUGGCCAACAGUUUCAUGCUAGAUGUGUUCAUAAUAUGUCAAGACAUAUGUGUCCAUCAAUCACAGCAUGCGCCUACGAUUGAUGAGGCUGAUGGAUGUUCAGUGACAGGGAUGCUGCUCGGAUCAAUGUGGGAGCUCCUGGGAUUUGACCCUCCAACAUUUGCAUUCUGUUCUAUUGCAGAUGCAGCAAAGCCGCAGAAACAAACACGGGGCAUGGUUACAGGAACUGAAAAUGCAGUUAUUUAUAUGAAAAAAUGGGAAAAAAUACUUUUCAAUUCAAUCUUAUUUUAUGUAAUGUAUUUGCUUGGGUUUACUAACAUUAACAUUCAAUUCAAUGUAAUAUAUUUUCCUGUUGCAAAUAAUCUUAGACAGUAAAACCUUGUCUUAAUA
ensembl:lncRNA